rnacentral:rRNA from 1 species
UAGGGAAUCUUCGGCAAUGGACGGAAGUCUGACCGAGCAACGCCGCGUGAGUGAAGAAGGUUUUCGGAUCGUAAAGCUCUGUUGUAAGAGAAGAACGAGUGUGAGAGUGGAAAGUUCACACUGUGACGGUAUCUUACCAGAAAGGGACGGCUAACUACGUGCCAGCAGCCGCGGUAGUACGUAGGUCCCGAGCGUUAUCCGGAUUUAUUGGGCGUAAAGCGAGCGCAGGCGGUUAGAUAAGUCUGAAGUUAAAGGCUGUGGCUUAACCAUAGUACGCUUUGGAAACUGUUUAACUUGAGUGCAAGAGGGGAGAGUGGAAUUCCAUGUGUAGCGGUGAAAUGCGUAGAUAUAUGGAGGAACACCGGUGGCGAAAGCGGCUCUCUGGCUUGUAACUGACGCUGAGGCUCGAAAGCGUGGGGAGCAAACAGGAUUAGAUACCCUGGUAGUCCACGCCGUAAACGAUGAGUGCUAGGUGUUGGAUCCUUUCCGGGACUCAGUGCCGCAGCUAACGCACUAAGCACUCCGCCUGGGGAGUACGACCGCAAGGUUG